UACGUAGGGGGCAAGCGUUUGUCCGGAUUUAUUGGGCGUAAAGAGCGUGUAGGCGGCCUGACAAGUCUGCUGUGAAAACUCGAGGCUCAACCUCGAGACGUCGGUUGAAACCGUAUGGCUAGAGUCCGGAAGAGGAGAGUGGAAUUCCCGGUGUAGCGGUGAAAUGCGCAGAUAUCAGGAGGAACACCGAUGGCGAAGGCAGGUCUCUGGGCCAUAACUGACGCUGAGAAGCGAAAGCAUGGGGAGCGAACAGG
rnacentral:rRNA from 1 species